rnacentral:rRNA from 1 species
GCUACGGGAGGCAGCAGUGGGGAAUAUUGCACAAUGGGGGAAACCCUGAUGCAGCGACGCCGCGUGAGUGAAGAAGUAUCUCGGUACGUAAAGCUCUAUCAGCAGGGAAGAAAAUGACGGUACCUGACUAAGAAGCCCCGGCUAACUACGUUCCAGCAGCCGCAGUAAUACGUAGGGGGCCAGCGUUAUCCGGAUUUACUGGGUGUAAAGGGAGCGUAGACGGAUGCUCAAGUCCGGAGUGAAAUCCCGGGGCUUAACCCCGGAACUGCAUUGGAAACGGUGAGGCUGGAGUGCAGGAGGGGUAAGCGGAAUUCGUAGUGUAGCGGUGAAAUGCGUAGAUAUUAGGAGGAACACCGGUGGCGAAGGCGGCUUACUGGACUGUAACUGACGUUGAGGCUCGAAAGCGUGGGGAGCAAACAGGAUUAGAUACCCGUGUAGUC